GAUGAACGCUGGCGGCGUGCCUAACACAUGCAAGUCGAGCGAUCUUCUUCGGAAGAGAGCGGCGGACGGGUGAGUAACGCGUGGGUAACCUGCCCUGUACACACGGAUAACAUACCGAAAGGUAUGCUAAUACGAGAUAAUAUGCUUUUAUCGCAUGGUAGAAGUAUCAAAGCUCCGGCGGUACAGGAUGGACCCGCGUCUGAUUAGCUAGUUGGUAAGGUAAUGGCUUACCAAGGCGACGAUCAGUAGCCGACCUGAGAGGGUGAUCGGCCACAUUGGAACUGAGACACGGUCCAAACUCCUACGGGAGGCAGCAGUGGGGAAUAUUGCACAAUGGGCGAAAGCCUGAUGCAGCAACGCCGCGUGAGCGAUGAAGGCCUUCGGGUCGUAAAGCUCUGUCCUCAAGGAAGAUAAUGACGGUACUUGAGGAGGAAGCCCCGGCUAACUACGUGCCAGCCGCCGCCGUAA
rnacentral:rRNA from 1 species